UACGGGGGGGGCAAGCGUUGUUCGGAAUUACUGGGCGUAAAGGGCUCGUAGGUGGCCAACUCAGUCAGACGUGAAAUCCCUCGGCUUAACCGGGGAACUGCGUCUGAUACUGGAUGGCUUGAGGUUGGGAGAGGGAUGCGGAAUUCCAGGCGUAGCGGUGAAAUGCGUAGAUAUCUGGAGGAACACCGGUGGCGAAGGCGGCAUCCUGGACCAAUUCUGACACUGAGGAGCGAAAGCCAGGGGAGCAAACGGG
rnacentral:rRNA from 1 species